GACGAACGCUGGCGGCGUGCCUAAUACAUGCAAGUCGAACGAGAGCGACCGGUGCUUGCUCUGGUCAAUCUAGUGGCGAACGGGUGAGUAACACGUGGGUAACCUGCCCAUCAGAGGGGGAUAACAUUCGGAAACGGAUGCUAAAACCGCAUAGGUCUUCGAACCGCAUGGUUCGAAGGUGAAAAGAGGCGCAAGCUUCUGCUGAUGGAGGGACCCGCGGGGCAUUAGCUAGUUGGUGAGGUAACGGCUCACCAAGGCCGUGAUGCAUAGCCGACCUGAGAGGGUGAUCGGCCACACUGGGACUGAGACACGGCCCAAACUCCUACGGGAGGCAGCAGUAGGGAAUCUUCCGCAAUGGACGCAAGUCUGACGGAGCAACGCCGCGUGAGUGAAGAAGGUUUUCGGAUCGUAAAACUCUGUUGUUAGAGAAGAAUAAGUGCUAGAGUAACUGUUAGCGCCUUGACGGUAUCUAACCAGAAAGCCACGGCUAACUACGUG
rnacentral:rRNA from 1 species